UUCGCAAUGCCCGAAAGGGUGACGAAGCGACGCCGCGUGGGUGAGGAAGGCCUUCGGGUUGUAAAGCCCUGUCAGGAGGUAAGAAAUAUAAGUGCGCUAAUAUCGCAUUUAUUUGACGAAGGCUCCAAAGGAAGCCACGGCUAACUCUGUGCCAGCAGCCGCGGUAAUACAGAGGUGGCAAGCGUUGUUCGGAAUUAUUGGGCGUAAAGAGCACGUAGGUGGGUUUGUAAGUCAGAUGUGAAAGCCUUCUGUUCAACGGAAGAAUUGCAUCUGAAACUACAAGUCUUGAGUGUAGGAGGGGAGAAUGGAACUUCUGGUGGAGCGGUGAAAUGCGUAGAUAUCAGAAGGAACGCCGGCGGCGAAAGCGAUUCUCUGGCCUAUUACUGACACUCAGUGUGCGAAAGCUAGGGGAGCAAACGGGAUUAGAUACCCCGGUAGUCCUAGCUGUAAACGAUGGGCACUAAGUAGAGGGGUUUU
rnacentral:rRNA from 1 species